rnacentral:rRNA from 1 species
GGACCCGCACAAGUAGUGGAGCAUGUGGUUUAAUUCGAAGAUACGCGCAGAACCUUACCAACACUUGACAUGUUCGUCGCGACUCUAAGAGAUUAGAGUUUUCGGUUCGGCCGGACGAAACACAGGUGCUGCAUGGCUGUCGUCAGCUCGUGUCGUGAGAUGUUGGGUUAAGUCCCGCAACGAGCGCAACCCUCACUUUUUAGUUGCCAUCAUUAAGUUGGGCACUCUGAAAGAACUGCCAGUGAUAAGCUGGAGGAAGGUGGGAUGACGUCAAGGCUCCUAUGGGCCCCUUUACGUGUUGGGCUACACACGUGCUACAAUGGUAGUGAACAAUGGGUUAAUCCCAAAAGCUAUCUCAG